CGUUUGGAGCGAGAUUAGUCUUGGAAGCAGCAACUAGGAAAUGGGAAAACCAAAGCAAUCAAUGUGGAGGCUUUCUCUCGUACACUUCCUGUGUAUUUAAGCUCACUGUCUAGGAUAAUUUUAUAAUGGUGUAUUUUGUUUGGUGAGGACUGAUGUGGGAGGAGGGGAUGAAAGGAUUCAGCCUUACCUUCAAAAGCUUGUCUACAAUUGAGGAGGAAAAUGAAGGGAAUAUAAAAGAAAGAAAAAUUUAUAACAUAGUUGUGUUGGACUGCAAAGUUUUCCUUAGAUAAGGAUGCUGUUUUAAUUCUACCUUGAGUAAUGGGUUUUUCAGCAUUAUUCCCUGCUUUGAUGAUAAAAUAUUAAUGGAACCAAAGAUUUACCAACCUAAAGGCUGAUUAUUAAGGUUUUACAUUUGAAGCCAACAAUGGAAGUCUUAAAUCCUUGAACAUUGGUUUCAGGAAUCUGCAAAUUGGAUCCAGAAAAGGCCAAAGCUGCC